GUAAAUUUUAAAAUAGACUACUUGCAAUACUUAAGUACAAAAAAUGUUGAAUACUUUAGUACGUCUACUUAAGUGUGGUGCUUAAAGAGCAGUUCAAAUUCUACUCAAGUCCCUUUUUUAAUAGAGCACUUGAACUUUUACUCAAGUCUGGGUCACUAGUACUUUAUACAUCUCUUUAAGAGAGGGCAGCUCCUGUCUUGCUAGUAUUGAAGCCAGAUGGAUCGGUAAGACUCUGAAGAUUAUAGAGUAACUGUUAACAAGGAAUUUUCAUUAGAGCAGUACUCCAAUUCCCCGAAUGGGGGACAUGUUGCCAGUGUUAUCUGGAGGUGAGAAAUACACCAAAUUAGAUAUGAGUCAUGCAUAUCAACAGAUUUUGUUGGAGGAAACAUCAAAGCAAUAUGUAAUUGUAAAUACUCACAAAGGUCUCUUCACUAUACACGCUUACCCUUUGGAGUGAGUUCAAGUUCUGCAAUCUUCCAGAGAACUAUGGAGGGGAUUUUAAAGGUUCUCCUAAAAGUUACAUAUAUUAAGUAUAUUUGGAUGAUAUUCUGUUGACAGGAAAGAAUGAUCAAGAACAUCUUGGGACACUGGAUCAAGUAUUUCAGAGGCUGGAGGAGUCUGGAUUACCACUGAAAAGAGGGAAGUGUACGUUCAUGGAAAAUGAAGUUGUUUUCUUGGGACAUAAAGUUGAUGCCACAGGUAUUCAUGAAUAUGUAAUUUCUUAUAGAGCGGGUAAAGAUCAUGGUAAUGCUUAUGGUCUCAGUCAUCUUCCUGUUUCACAACCUUCUAAGGCAGAAUCAGAGGAAGAGCAUGUCUUGAUGUUGGAGAGCGUCGCUGGUACCUUGACGACCACACAGCAAAUUAAGCACUGAACUUCUAAAGAUCCUGUUUUGUGAAGAGUUUGUGCUUAAAGGCUGGCCUGAUCAUAGUGAUACCCCUGAAUUUGUACCUUAUAAACACAGACAGCAAGAGCUGUGGGGAGCCCAUGUUGUUAUUCCAGAAUAGGGAUGUUCAGGUUUGAAGGAACAGUUGAACCAAUCUCACCCAGGCAUGUCUAAGAUGAAAGGUUUGGCAAAAAAACUACAUUUGGUGGUCGAAUCUGGAUGCUGAUAUUGAAACUCAAGUAAGAGAUUGUACUGUCUGUAAAGAACAGCGCAAAUCCCCUGUAAGGGCCCCACUUCAUCCAUGGGAGUGGCCUAGACAACCGUGGAGGAGAAUUCACAUGGUUUAUGCAUGCCCUUUUCUAGGUAAAUUGUUCUUGAUUAUCAUUGAUGCCCAUUCUAAGUGGAUUGAUGCUUGUCCUGUAAGUUUAGCAACAACAGAAGCUACUUUGGAGUGUUUGUGAAAAGGUUUUAGUGUACGUGGGAAUCCUGAAAUGAUAGUGUCAGAUAAUGCCCAAUGUUUUGUGAGUAAAGCAAGUAAAGACUUCAUGACUAAGAAUGGAAUAACCCAUGUUACUUCUGCACCAUAUCACCCUUAAUCUAAUGGUUUAGCAGAGCGAGCAGUUCAAACUUUUAAAGACCUAAUGAAGAAAAGUUCAGGGAACAUGCUGGAUACCAAGUUACAUAGAGCUCUGUUUAAUUAUUGUAUCACACCCCAGUCUAUAACUGGACUGUCUCCUGCUGAAUUGCUUGAUGGCAAGAAAAUUGCGUUGCACUUUAAACAAGAUACAUCCUAACUUCACUGGUGAAAUGGAAAGGAAACAACAAGUUCAGAAAGAGUAUCAUGAUCAACAUGUGAAAUCUCGUUAUUUCCAGAUUUGAGAUGCUGUGUAUAUGCAAAACUUUAGGUAUGGACCAAAAUGGGUGCAUGGAGUAAUCCAGGACAUUACCGGACCUGUAUCUUAUACAGUAGCCUUGGGGAAUGCUCAAAGUGUGCUACGUCAUGUAGAUCAAUUAUUUAGUCGCUAACAAAAAGAAAUGAUAACUGAUUACCAACCGAGCAUGGAAGUUCACUUAUGUGAUGCAGAAAUUGGGUCUUUGGAUACAGAUGUUCAAGUGCCCAAAUCAUCUAGUACCUCUAUAAUACCAACUCCUGGUGUUGCUCCUGAGAAAAAAGGAGCUGGAAAAUUUGCAUACUGAAUGUUCCAGUAGGCUGUUGUCACAGUUAUGUAGUGCUCCUACCAUUCCUGAAGUGACAUCAAUUCCAGAAGUAAAAAACCCUGAACUUGUACAUACUAGGGGUCUACGAUGUUGAGUAAGAGAACAGAAACAACCCUCACAUUUAAAGGACUUUGGGAUGUAAAAAAUAGAAAAGUAUUAGCACACUUAAAGGAUAUUGUGUAUAUUUGAAAUGGAGACAGGGGUAGCUGCAGUCUGGAGCAAUGGGCGUGCCGAAAGGUAGGGGCGUGGCAAAAGGUUUCUCAUUGGUGGAAGGAGUUUUACUGUGCUGGCCAAUCAGCAGUAAAUAUACAUUACGUAAUUUCCUUAGACAAGGUGGCGGCGAUAAGACGUGAGGUAAUUAUUCAUCGUUUAUACGUUUAUCUAUACUUUAUAUACCACAAAUAUGUAUAUAAAGAUAAGUUUGUUACAAUACGAUCAAAUUUUUUCCUUUGCGUUAUAUCUUGCAGUUUUAGUAAUUAGUUUAUUGUUGUUGACAGACAUAUGUACAGUGAGACAAAACGAUGACCGCAUCGACGGCGAAUCCUUCAGAGAUGAUUGUUUAUAUCUGCGUCCUUUUUAUACAAUAGAGUACAGAAUACAUCCUGGGGACCCGGCCACACCUUUCCUACCGUACACCUGAUGGAUACUGACUGUAAAAUGGCAAUCGUAGUUCGAGGGCUCAGUGUGGUGACAGAAGAUGGAACAGAUGUGUGUCCGUGCACCAGUCUUGAUGAAGCUUCAUAACAGCCUUCUGGAUGUAUUCUGUUUUCAACAUUGCAUAUCCACCACACCUGAGAAAGACACUGACUUUCCUUCAGAGGCACAUUCUCAACAUUAGAAGACGAGAUAAGCUCUGUAUGGUUGACUGGAAGUCUGUCAGUCCAGAUGUGAGGAGGACACACAGAGUGGAGCUGGAGCUCAGCAGAUGUGUGAUGCUGUAGAUACUGUGGUCUUGGAAAGAAGGGAUCUCCACAGCUUUCUAUUCAGACAAAAGAGUUUGCUGGAUUCUGUUCUAUGGACUGCUACUGCAGAAUUAAUUAAUUAAUUAAUUAAUGAGUGGUCUAUCUAUCUAUCUA